UACGGAGGGGGCUAGCGUUGUUCGGAAUUACUGGGCGUAAAGCGUACGUAGGCGGCUUUGUAAGUUAGAGGUGAAAGCCCGGGGCUCAACUCCGGAAUUGCCUUUAAGACUGCAUCGCUUGAAUCAUGGAGAGGUGAGUGGAAUUCCGAGUGUAGAGGUGAAAUUCGUAGAUAUUCGGAAGAACACCAGUGGCGAAGGCGACUCACUGGACAACUGUUGACGCUGAGGUGCGAAAGCGUGGGGAGCAAACAGG
rnacentral:rRNA from 1 species